rnacentral:misc_RNA from 1 species
GGAAAACUUAGCACGAUCUUUAGCAUUCACGACUCAGAUAUGGUUUAAAACCUUGAACAAUUUGUUUCACAAAUAAGCACUCAUUCUCGCACUAGGAAUCAUACCCAUCAAACUCAAUCAUUGCAAUUUAAGGGGAAGAAAACCAUUACCAUUAAGGGGAAAGAAAAGCUUUGGUACAUCAUCCAACCGCAACAAAAUCACAUUAACAACUGCAUAUUACAUCAGCCAAACUACAAUAACCGUCAUUUUUUCCACUAGAAAAGAGAGGAUGUAAGUUCAGACACAUCAGCUGAAACCUGAGAAAAUUCUGCCUUUAAUUUCUCCUGUUCCUCCUGGUCUAGUUCCCCCUUUGGAGGCUUGGUUAACACCAGAACACAACAUGUAGGUCUCUUGGUGGCUCCUGCAUUUGCAAGAUCCUGAAAUGACAAAUUAACAUUACGAAACAAAUAUUCAAUAACAAAAAAAAUUUGUCAUCAUCUCAUAGGUUUAUGCUUUGCAGUAACAAAAAAUUCAAUAACUCAUUUUGGCAACCUCAUACUUAAUGAGUUAAAGUACCCACCAUCACAUGCCCAGAAUGUCGAGAAAAGUUUUCCAUUUCGUUGAGACUUCAAACUUAUCAAGCUAUUAAGGCUUUGAGGAAUUACCGAUGAUUCAAAGCAUUAAAGACACAUACAACGAUAAGGACUAAGGAGGUGUUCAGUACGAAGUUAACAAGAGUAAUUGUCACCCUUGUAACUUUUAACUCUUCAUUAAUGUUCUUUGUAUGUUUAAAGAGACUGUAUAAAAAGACAAUAUUAAAUUUCAUCUCAUUAAUAUUUAUACCUUUAGGGGGAUUAAAUAUUAACCUUAGGGGGCUUAAGUUAGUAAUUACCCUGUUUAAACACUAAAACUUACAAAGAUAACAUUUGACUUUUGAUUUUUUAUCCUCCGACCAAACACAUUCUAAGACUGCUCUGGUGUCUUCUCACUACACCUUGAUAACAAAUUUGUUAGCAUGGAUAACUAAUAAGCCAUUUUUAUCCGCUUACUAAUGAAAACUGUAGGUCUUGUCUUAUGUUCACAAGCUAUCAUAGAACAGAAGGCACUUCCUAAAAAUGAGAAGUAGAAAUGAAAUUUUAUACAAAUACGUCAUUCUUGAUACAAGAAGAAAGAACAAGAGGUCUGCAGUGUCAUAAAAAAAAAACUUA